rnacentral:rRNA from 1 species
UACGAAGGGGGCUAGCGUUGUUCGGAUUUACUGGGCGUAAAGCGCACGUAGGCGGAUCGUUAAGUCGGGGGUGAAAUCCUGGAGCUCAACUCCAGAACUGCCUUCGAUACUGGCGAUCUUGAGUCCGGAAGAGGUGAGUGGAACUCCUAGUGUAGAGGUGGAAUUCGUAGAUAUUAGGAAGAACACCAGUGGCGAAGGCGGCUCACUGGUCCGGUACUGACGCUGAGGUGCGAAAGCGAGGGGAGCAA